rnacentral:lncRNA from 1 species
AUAAUGAACAAACCUUUUGGUUUUGUUGGUGUUUUCCAACCAACAGAGCCCAUGCACUUGAUCUCUGCCUUGUCUCUAUGAGCAGGACAUACUUUAGUCAACUCUCCGAGAAUCCUAUGAGUGAAGAUCCUAGACUUAUGAACAUGCACAAUGAGCGAAGAUGCUACCAGUUCCCAGAACUAGUACUUGACUCCAACCUGCAUGAAGAGCAAUAAACAUGGGUGACAUCAUCUUAAGAGGUGCAACUAUCAUGGUCUCUACCUUUGGGACCAAAUAAAGAACCUAAGGAAUUAACAUGGUAAGAGGUCCUAUUCGGAGGACUUAAAAUCACCGAACACCGUGCCAAGAGGUAACUUGGUAUUUAUCAGCAUUUUCCUUUAGCAUAUUUAUUUUCUUUAACCCCAUUAGUAGUUGCAUCUUAUUUAUUUAUUUAUGCAUUAGAAAAUAAAAAUAUGUAUUGCAUUGCAUGUAGAAAAUGCUAAGCCCCAUGUAUUUAAUGUGUGAUGCAAUAGCCCACAAACUCAUCUACUGUGGUGGUAUAAAAAUAAAUUUAUGCAUAUUUGUUUUCUUGUCUGCAUACUAUAAAAAGUAUAAAAAUACUGCUAAAAUAUAAAUAGGUAUAAUAAAGUUCUAGACUCCCAAAGCUUAGAGGUUUAUUACUAAUGCUUAAUUAGUUUAACAAGCUAUGUUGUCUAUUUAAGAUUUACAGGCUUUAAAGGAUCAAGAAAAAUUAACUGGCCGAAGGAUGACUUGUCCCCUGUCGGAGUACUGUCCACAUUAGGCAAGUGUUGUUUCUGAUAGCAAGGACCCAUGACAGUCUAGGAGGAUCAAUACGCCUUCGCUGCCCGUUAGCAACUUUAGCAGACUAUGUCAACAUCCAGCUAGAGGGAGAGCAACCCCCGUAUACCGAGCUAAGUAUCCCUUACUCAUCUAUUUAUUCCUAGUGCGUUAUAACAAGAUAAAAAAUGAAUAAUCUUAGAAACCUAAUAAAUAUUUUAUCUUUUAUAACUAAUCUUGCUAGGAGAGCUCUUGAUGAAUCUGUUAAAAUGAACCUCUAGAAUAAAUCUUACAUGGAGAUGAUGAAUAGUUUCUCUGCCGUAAUUCCUUGCAAGUACCUAGUUUUCAACCUUGUACUCUCUUGAGUUUUAGACACAACUAUUUAGACUUAAGAUUUUGCUCUGAGCCUGAAACUUGUGGGUAGCAAAUGAUUGAUCUAAGUCUAGGUAGUUGACGGAUAUGAUAUGGGGAGGUUUUGAGCUGCUAUCAGUCUUGCUCCUAGAGAUGCUAGAGUUCUAGAGAAUUUUAUUUUGAAAAUCUUAAAUGGCUACAUGAUGAGUUCCUUUAUGACAAGGUUUUAAAAUUCCUACCACAACCAAAUACUCAUGCUUACUAGAUUAGAAAAGCCUCCCACAUAUAUUUCAACCUAUAAGUAUUGAGGGUAGUUAAGCUGUGUUGACCAUAAGGAACUAAUCAUGUAGUUAAAGUCGAUAUUAUGUGCUCUCCAUCCUUUGACCUUAGCUACUUCUAUCCCUAGAAGUAUGCAACCACUUACUUCCACCAUAUUCACUAUGUGCUACUUCUGUUCCUGGAAGUACCACCCACAUAUACGCACUACACUCUAUGUUGUUUCUAUCCUGGAGACAUGCACCUAUGUUGCUCCUACCCUCAGAGUACGCAUUCAUUCACUCAUUCAUAUUACACAUCCACUUAGAAAAUAUUCUACUCCUACACUAGGAGAAGACACCCAACAAUAUUCAUUAUGUCUUUUUCCAUUAAAGCUCUAGUUAUUUCAGUUGAUACUUCCUACUGUUAUCAGUGCAUUAAAAGGGUUGGCUGAUCUUAAAAAAAGAAAAAUAAAAGAAAGAAGAAAAAAGUCCCAAAAAGAAAAGAAAGACAACCAAGUCCUUAUUAGGGAGGUAUGUUAUCCCCAAGGAGCAAAUGUAGGAUUAGAUAUUCACCAUCAAUCAUCACCCCUCAUUUUUUAUCAUUCUUAUCAUCACUUCAUUCACUGCACUCACAAGCACAUAUGAUUGAUUGUAUAAUUAGUUCUAUGGAUCCAUGGUUUAACUAUGCAAUACAUGCAAGUAGGUUUGAAUUGUCUUUCCCUAUGAGCUCCACAUAAGCCAAAUAGAAGUAGGGUGAGAGAGAGAAGGCAGUUAUGUCGUAGUGAUAUAAAUACCAUAUUCUGAGAGAAGGCAUACUCACUUGCCUUAGAGAGGAUCCAAAAAUUCCACAUAUGAAAGAUUAGAAAGGGUCAUACAAGGAAUCUCUGAGUUUUAUUGAAAAUCUUACAAAACUCCAGAAUAAUAGUUGAUCAAAGAGUGAGUAAUAUAGCGCUUGACUUAACCGUCCUAUCUUUAAAUCGCUAAGUGAUAGCUCUAAGCCUCAUGGUGAAAGGUAAUAUGGGUGAGUCUUGAGUUAGAAUAGUUCACUCUAAUCCGGAGGAGAGUCCUUGUUUGAACACAUGUGUAGUUGUGAGGCGUGAAAGCAUUGUAGCAACUCCUAAUUCAUCAUUGAGUCUAUCUUUGUUCAGGGAGGAGCAAAAGGUAAUAUUGGAGGAGUUUGUUGACGGUAGAUAAGUACUCUUUUUAACCAUCAACAUAGCAUGAGAAAGGACUAAAAUCAGAAUACCAUCUAGCUAUAGGGGUUAUUACUAACAUAAUUCCACAAGUUUUGGUGAAUGUCUAUUUAUGCAGGAUGUCAGCUGAAAAUAACGAAAGAUGGUCCACAUGUCAGGUUUACACAGAGAGAAUACCGUGAACGUCAACUUUUAUGUAAUCUAGAAGGUUCUAGGAGGCUCCAAAUCAAACGGAAAGCGAAUCGGGUCCAGUAGCCAGGCGGCUGCCCAAAGGGCUUGGGUGCCCGCCUGGAGAUCUCCACCAAUCAGAGUCAACCUCAUGGAUCCUGCCUCCACCGACUUUGAGGAGUAAUCUUGAGCAUAUGUUUAAGUCGGUUUGAUCCAGGGGCUAUGAUGCUUCCUAAGGGGCUAUAAAUAGAAGCCUGACCCCCCCUUAGAGGUAUCUCCUUCGUCUCCUUCAUUAGCUACAUCUAGAGCAAAAACUAGGGUUUCAUCAAGUAGAGAAGUAGAGGUCCC